rnacentral:rRNA from 1 species
AGCGAACGUUAGCGGCGGGCCUAACACAUGCAAGUCGAGCGAGAAAGUGGCUUCGGCCAUCAGUAAAGCGGCGGACGGGUGAGUAACACGUAGGUAAUCUUCCCUUGAGCGGGGGACAACGAGCCGAAAGGCUCGCUAAUACCGCAUAAGUUUCUCGGGACCUUGGUCCUGGGAAGGAAAGCUAGGUAGCAAUAUCCGGCACUCGAGGAGGAGCCUGCGUCGCAUCAGCUAGUUGGUGGGGUAAUGGCCUACCAAGGCGAAGACGCGUAGCUGGUCUGAGAGGAUGAUCAGCCACACUGGGACUGAGACACGGCCCAGACUCCUACGGGAGGCAG